ensembl:lncRNA
GCCCACAGCAGAUGGGAAUCUUCAGCUGAGCUUUUGCUUUCUCCCACAGUUCAGAAGCCCCCUGAGCCCAGGGCUGCGUGCUACACCGAAAUGUUCAAUCCUGCAUUUGAAUAAGCUGAAUCAAGCCAGCCAUACUGCUAAACAUAUGCAUGGAGGCUUCUUACAUAAACGAAUGUUGCCCUGAAGCACUUGUAGUGCAGUUGUUACUGCCUUGUGUUAAUGGAGAAGGACCCCAAAGAGAAUGGAGUGUAAGGUAACGAUAUCCAAAAAUGAAAACAAAGCCAGGAAGUAAGUUCCUGUAUUUCAUACUGGCUGAGCUCAUAGAAAUGCAGGAAGAAAACAGAGCAUAAGAAACAGGGAGUGAAAUGCAAGUGUUUGAUUUUUUUUGUUUUUUUAAUUUGAAUCAUUGAGUAUGCUUUGAAAAAACACUUGAGGCAAUGACUAUUUUUCUUAAGUAGGGAAUUUUAAAGACUUUAUUUUGAUGCAAAGCCAUGUAAUGUUGCUGGAGAA